rnacentral:sRNA from 1 species
GCCGCUGCAAAUUCAGCGGCACAGGAUUGGCGUCCUGGGUCUCGAAGCGGAACAUGAUAAUCGCGCAUGCGGUUUUCCU